rnacentral:lncRNA from 7 species
GCAGUCUGCAGCGCCCGACCCGUGCGUCCACCCGGCAUCGUUCCCUCGUCGCCACAACGGCAGACAGGUAGUUCGUUGGUUGGUUGGUGAUGGGUUGCAGGAUGGCCCGUGAUCGUGUGUUGGCAAGCAAAUGGCGGUGGCCACGUGGCGUCGACGGCUGACACGAGCUCAAUGAUUGAGCCGUGGCGUGCUGCGCGAGGGGUUUGACUCGCCACACUGUGCUGCUCCCUUUCGGUUCGGAGUUCGGACCGAAGUCGUGGCUCGCAUUAACUGACCCGACCGAUCUGUGUCAGGCGGAGAGGUGAGGUGGCGGCCGGGGGCGCGAUGAUGCGCACGGCUCAACUGCUGAUGUGAUUAGCGCAUGACUGCCAUCUAGCUCAAUGCUCAUCUCAUCUCAUCUCUUGCUUGUCCGAGGAUUCUACAUUCUACUGGUGGUAGUAAAUGAGCGAGCUAAGAUUGGUGCACGUACUUUAGGGGUGUUUAGUUAAUUAGCUCCCACCUUCUCACCUUGGGUGUUUGGUACUACCCUGGGUUCUAGCUUUAGUAUGGAACUAUAGCGUAUGAUAUAAAUUUAAACGGCUUUAAAA